rnacentral:rRNA from 1 species
AUUGAACGCUGGCGGCAGGCCUAACACAUGCAAGUCGAGCGGAUGAAGGGAGCUUGCUCCUGGAUUCAGCGGCGGACGGGUGAGUAAUGCCUAGGAAUCUGCCUGGUAGUGGGGGAUAACGUCCGGAAACGGGCGCUAAUACCGCAUACGUCCUGCGGGAGCAAGUGGGGGAUCUUCGGACCUUACGCCAUCAGAUGAGCACAGGUCGGAUUAGCUAGUUGGUGGGGUAAAGGCUUACCAAGGCGACGGUCCGUAACUGGUCUGAGGGGAUGAUCAGUCACACUGGACCUAAGGCACGGUCACACCUCCUACGGGAGGCGCAAGUGGAGAAAUUAGUAAAAUGGGCGAAAGCCUGAUCCAGCCAUGCCGCGUGUGUGAAGAAGGUCUUCGGAUUGUAAAGCACUUUAAGUUGGGGGGAAGGGCAGUAAGUUAAUACCUUGCUGUUUUGACGUUACCAACAGAAUAAGCACCGGCUAACUUCGUG